UACGUAGGGGCCUAGCGUUGUCCGGAAUUAUUGGGCGUAAAGAGCUCGUAGGCGGUUUGUCGCGUCUGCCGUGAAAGUCCGGGGCUCAACUCCGGAUCUGCGGUGGGUACGGGCAGACUAGAGUGAUGUAGGGGAGACUGGAAUUCCUGGUGUAGCGGUGAAAUGCGCAGAUAUCAGGAGGAACACCGAUGGCGAAGGCAGGUCUCUGGGCAUUAACUGACGCUGAGGAGCGAAAGCAUGGGGAGCGAACAGA
rnacentral:rRNA from 1 species